UCCAUGGCUCCUCACCUUCAAUAGCAUUCACCUGUGCUGCACAGCUGCAGCCAAUUAGGGACCAAUUAGGGACCAAUUAGGGAUCAGCCCCACUCCCAAUCACCACCAACGGAGUGCCUACAAGUGCAUUCUAGUGAGUGCACUAAAAAUUAACCAACACUAAACCCAUAUUGUGCAGACCUGCAAUCUAUUAAAGCAUCAAAGCUUCCAUUAGCACCCGCAGCCAUGGAAUUUCCACAUGCCAGGGACUGGACACCUAGCCAGGUGCACUGUGAUGUGAAGCAGUGCUGUGUCACUGAUGCUCUUGUGACUCAGCAGUGUCCUUCGAUCUACAGAGCUUCGGAGAAGAAAAACUGUUCAAGAGAAAAAGAAUACAUAACAAAAGAAUCCUCCGCCUCCUCCCAUCUCUAAAGAGGCGUUUGUUCACCAUCCCAGCUUCAGCAUUCAUCACGUACAGAACCUCAAGCUGCACAAUGUGAAAACAACAGGAAGACAAUACUGGAUGAAAGAUUCUUCUAUUGAUAUUCUCGUGGACCUCCAAAAACAUGUUAAGGUUUCCACGUAAGACUUCUGUGCCAGGCUGUGAUGCCAAAGCUGCAAGUGCAGGAUCCUGGAAAAGGAAAGCUGUGUUCAUUGUU